rnacentral:rRNA from 1 species
UACAGAGGGUGCAAGCGUUGUUCGGAAUUACUGGGCGUAAAGGGCGCGUAGGCGGUCUUGUAAGUCUUGUGUGAAAUCCCUCGGCUUAACUGAGGAACUGCACGGGAUACUGCAUGACUUGAGAUCGGGAGAGGGAAGCGGAAUUCCGGGUGUAGCGGUGAAAUGCGUAGAUAUCCGGAGGAACACCGGUGGCGAAGGCGGCGUUCUGGACUGCAACUGACACUGAGGAACGAAAGCCAGGGGAGCAAACGGG